rnacentral:rRNA from 1 species
CCUACGGGUGGCAGCAGUCGAGAAUCAUUCACAAUGGGGGAAACCCUGAUGCAGCGACGCCGCGUGAGUGAAGAAGUAUUUCGGUAUGUAAAGCUCUAUCAGCAGGGAAGAAGAAAGACGGUACCUGACUAAGAAGCCCCGGCUAACUACGUGCCCGCAGCCGCGGUAAUACGUAGGGGGCAAGCGUUAUCCGGAUUUACUGGGUGUAACGGGAGCGUAGAGGGCUGUGCAAGUCUGAAGUGAAAGCCCAGGGCUCAACCCUGGGACUGCUUUGGAAACUGUGGAGCUAGAGUGCUGGAGAGGUAAGUUGAAUUCCUAGUGUAGCGGUGACAUGCGUAGAUAUUAGGAGGAACACCAGUGGCGAAGGCGGCUUACUGGACAGUAACUGACGUUGAGGCUCGAACGCGUGGGGAGCAAACAGGAUUAGAUACCCUUGUAGUC